rnacentral:rRNA from 1 species
GCUUGAGCACGUAGGUGGGUUUGUAAGUCAGGUGUGAAAGCCUUCUGUUCAACGGGAGAAUUGCAUCUGAAACUACAAGUCUUGAGUGUAGGAGGGGAGAAUGGAACUUCUGGUGGAGCGGUGAAAUCCGUAGAUAUCAGAAGGAACGCCGGCGGCGAAAGCGAUUCUCUGGCCUAUUACUGACACCCAGUGUGCGAAAGCUAGGGGAGCAAACGGGAUUAGAUACCCCGGUAGUCCUAGCCGUAAACGAUGGGCACUAAGUAGAGGGGAUUACCGACGUUCUCUCUGCCGUAGCUAACGCAUUAAGUGCCCCGCCUGGGGAGUACGGCCGCAAGGCUAAAACUCAAAAGAAUUGACGGGGGCUCGCACAAGCGGUGGAGCAUGUGGCUUAAUUCGAUGCAACGCGAAGAACCUUACCGGGGCUUGACAUGGUAGAAGUAGGAGCCCGAAAGGGUAACGAACGGUAUCCAGUCCGUGACUAUCACAGGUGUUGCAUGGCUGUCGUCAGCUCGUGUCGUGAGACGUUGGGUUAAGUCCCCUAACGAGCGAAACCCUUGUUUUUAGUUACCAGCGGGUUAUGCCGGGUACUCUAGAAAGACUGCCGUCGUCAAGACGGAGGAAGGUGGGGAUGACGUCAAGUCAUCAUGGCCCUUAUGCCCCGGGCUGCACACGUGCUACAAUGGUCGGUACAAACGGAAGCGAAGCCGAGAGGUGAAGCGAAUCCAAGC